CCUACGGGAGGCAGCAGUGGGGAAUAUUGCACAAUGGGGGAAACCCUGAUGCAGCGACGCCGCGUGAGUGAUGCAGUAUUUCGGUAUGUAAAGCUCUAUCAGCGGGGAAGAAAAUGACGGUACCUGACUCAGAAGCCCCGGCGAACUACGUGCCAGCAGCCGCGGUAAUACGUGGGGGGCAAGCGUUAUCCGGAUUUACUGGGUGUACAGGGAGCGUAGACGGCGGUGCAAGCCAGAUGUGAAAGCCCGGGGCUCAACCCCGGGACUGCAUUUGGAACUGUGCUGCUAGAGUGUCGGAGAGGCAGGCGGAAUUCCUAGUGUAGCGGUGAAAUGCGUAGAGAUUAGGAGGAACACCAGUGGCGAAGGCGGCCUGCUGGACGAUGACUGACGUUGAGGCUCGAAAGCGUGGGGAGCAAACAGGAUUAGAUACCCCUGUAGUC
rnacentral:rRNA from 1 species